GGGCGAUUAGCUCAGUUGGUAGAGCAGUGCUUUUACACAGCAAAGGUCACAGGUUCGAAUCCUGUAUCGCCCACAA
rnacentral:tRNA from 1 species